rnacentral:rRNA from 1 species
AUUGAACGCUGGCGGCAGGCCUAACACAUGCAAGUCGGACGGUAGCACAGAGGAGCUUGCUCUUCGGGCGACGAGUGGCGGACGGGUGAGUAAUGUCUGGGAAACUGCCCGAUGGAGGGGGAUAACUACUGGAAACGGUAGCUAAUACCGCAUAACGUCGCAAGACCAAAGUGGGGGACCUUCGGGCCUCACACCAUCGGAUGUGCCCAGAUGGGAUUAGCUGGUAGGCGGGGUAACGGCCCACCUAGGCGACGAUCCCUAGCUGGUCUGAGAGGAUGACCAGCCACACUGGAACUGAGACACGGUCCAGACUCCUACGGGAGGCAGCAGUGGGGAAUAUUGCACAAUGGGCGCAAGCCUGAUGCAGCCAUGCCGCGUGUAUGAAGAAGGCCUUCGGGUUGUAAAGUACUUUCAGCGGGGAGGAAGGUGCUGAGGUUAAUAAGCUCAGCAAUUGACGUUACCCGCAGAAGAAGCACCGGCUGACUCCGUGCCAGCCGCCGCCGUAA